rnacentral:rRNA from 1 species
AUUGAACGCUGGCGGCAUGCUUUACACAUGCAAGUCGAACGGUAACAGGCCGCAAGGUGCUGACGAGUGGCGAACGGGUGAGUAAUGCAUCGGAACGUGCCCAGUCGUGGGGGAUAACGCAGCGAAAGCUGUGCUAAUACCGCAUACGAUCUAUGGAUGAAAGCGGGGGACCGUAAGGCCUCGCGAGAUUGGAGCGGCCGAUGUCAGAUUAGGUAGUCGGUGGGGUAAAGGCCCACCAAGCCAACGAUCUGUAGCUGGUCUGAGAGGACGACCAGCCACACUGGGACGGAGACACGGCCCAUACUCCUACGGGAGGCAGCAGUGGGGAAUUUUGGACAAUGGGCGCAAGCCUGAUCCAGCAAUGCCGCGUGCAGGAAGAAGGCCUUCGGGUUGUAAACUGCUUUUGUACGGAACGAAACGGUCUGGGUUAAUACCCUGGGCUAAUGACGGUACCGUAAGAAUAAGCACCGGCUAACUACGUGCCAGCCGCCGCCGUAAAAC